UACAGAGGUCUCAAGCGUUGUUCGGAUUCAUUGGGCGUAAAGCGCACGUAGGCGGCUUGUUAAGUCAGGGGUGAAAUCCUGGAGCUCAACUCCAGAACUGCCUUUGAUACUGGCGAGCUUGAGUUCGGGAGAGGUGAGUGGAACUGCGAGUGUAGAGGUGAAAUUCGUAGAUAUCUGGAGGAACACCGGUGGCGAAGGCGGCAUCCUGGACCAAUACUGACGCUGAGGAGCGAAAGCCAGGGGAGCAAACGGG
rnacentral:rRNA from 1 species